rnacentral:rRNA from 1 species
GACGAACGCUGGCGGCGUGCUUAACACAUGCAAGUCGAACGGAAAGGCCCUGCUUUUGUGGGGUGCUCGAGUGGCGAACGGGUGAGUAACACGUGAGUAACCUGCCCUUGACUUUGGGAUAACUUCAGGAAACUGGGGCUAAUACCGGAUAGGAGCUCCUGCUGCAUGGUGGGGGUUGGAAAGUUUCGGCGGUUGGGGAUGGACUCGCGGCUUAUCAGCUUGUUGGUGGGGUAGUGGCUUACCAAGGCUUUGACGGGUAGCCGGCCUGAGAGGGUGACCGGCCACACUGGGACGGAGAUACGGCCCAGACUCCUACGGGAGGCAGCAGUGGGGAAUAUUGCACAAUGGGCGGAAGCCUGAUGCAGCAACGCCGCGUGCGGGAUGACGGCCUUCGGGUUGUAAACCGCUUUCGCCUGUGACGAAGCGUGAGUGACGGUAAUGGGUAAAGAAGCACCGGCUAACUACGUG